rnacentral:tmRNA from 1 species
GGGGAUGUUUUGGAUUUGACUAAGAAGUUAGAUAGCGUAAGUUGCAGGCAGAGUGAAUCUCUUAAAACUUCUUUAAUAAAUGCAAAAAAUAAUAACUUUACAAGUUCAAAUCUUGUAAUGGCUGCUUAAAUUAGCAGAGAGUUUUGUUGAAUUUUGCUUUGAGAUUUAGCUUAUACUCUUUAAAAACAUCAAAGCUUGCUUAAAAAUGUUUCAAGUUCAUUUUUAGGGACUUCUUAACUUGUAAGUAAUUUGGUGGUUUGCUAGCGUUUCCAUCUCUUUACUAAGUAAAACACUGGCUAAGCUUGUAGACACUUAUGAUAUUAUUUUUAGGACGCGGGUUCAAAUCCCGCCAUCUCCAUAA